rnacentral:lncRNA from 1 species
GACCAUACUUUAACUUGAGGAAUCAACAAAAUCCUAGCUGAGGAAUCAUGCUUGAUGCUCUUGAUGAAAAGACCUACCUUGCACAAUAAACUUAAAGAAAACAAGACUUAUUUUUUCUAUUUUGAUUAGUGGUUAGAUAAGCAAUGAACAUAUAAAUACAAAGGCAAAAUACCAACAAAGAGGUGUUUGAUGAUCCCUG